AGGUAGAGCAGGGGACUGAAAAUCCCCGUGUCUCUGGUUCGAUUCCGGAAGUGGGCA
rnacentral:tRNA from 1 species